rnacentral:rRNA from 1 species
AACGAACGCUGGCGGCAUGCCUAACACAUGCAAGUCGAACGAAGCCUUCGGGCUUAGUGGCGCACGGGUACGUAACGCGUGGGUAUCUGCCCUUGGGUUCGGAAUAACAGUUAGAGAUGACUGCUAAUACCGGAUGAUGUCUUCGGACCAAAGAUUUAUCGCCCAAGGAUGAGCCCGCGUAGGAUUAGGUAGUUGGUGGGGUAAUGGCCCACCAAGCCGACGAUCCUUAGCUGGUCCGAGAGGAUGAUCAGCCACACUGGGACUGAGACACGGCCCAGACUCCUACGGGAGGCAGCAGUGGGGAAUAUUGGACAAUGGGCGAAAGCCUGAUCCAGCAAUGCCGCGUGAGUGAUGAAGGCCUUAGGGUUGUAAAGCUCUUUUACCAGGGAUGAUAAUGACAGUACCUGGAGAAUAAGCUCCGGCUAACUCCGUGCCAGCCGCCGCAGUAAGAC